rnacentral:rRNA from 1 species
AGUGAACGCUGGCGGUAGGCCUAACACAUGCAAGUCGAACGGCAGCACAGUAAGAGCUUGCUCUUACGGGUGGCGAGUGGCGGACGGGUGAGGAAUACAUCGGAAUCUACUUUUUCGUGGGGGAUAACGUAGGGAAACUUACGCUAAUACCGCAUACGACCUACGGGUGAAAGCAGGGGAUCUUCGGACCUUGCGCGAUUGAAUGCGCCGAUGUCGGAUUAGCUAGUUGGCGGGGUAAAGGCCCACCAAGGCGACGAUCCGUAGCUGGUCUGAGAGGAUGGUCAGCCACACUGGAACUGAGACACGGUCCAGACUCCUACGGGAGGCAGCAGUGGGGAAUAUUGGACAAUGGGCGCAAGCCUGAUCCAGCCAUACCGCGUGGGUGAAGAAGGCCUUCGGGUUGUAAAGCCCUUUUGUUGGGAAAGAAAAGCAGGAGGUUAAUACCCCGCUGUUCUGACGGUACCCAAAGAAUAAGCACCGGCUAACUUCGUG